UACGGGGGGGGCAAGCGUUGUUCGGAAUUAUUGGGCGUAAAGGGCUCGUAGGCGGUUUGUCGCGUCGGGAGUGAAAACACCGGGCUUAACUCGGUGCUUGCUUUCGAUACGGGCAGACUAGAGGAAUGCAGGGGAGAACGGAAUUCCUGGUGUAGCGGUGAAAUGCGCAGAUAUCAGGAGGAACACCGGUGGCGAAGGCGGUUCUCUGGGCAUGUCCUGACGCUGAGGAGCGAAAGUGUGGGGAGCGAACAGG
rnacentral:rRNA from 1 species